GUGUGAGUUCUCUUUUCACCUUUUAGACACAUUGAUUGGAUCUGAAAAUUGGCAGAUAUAAUUAUGUAGGGGGGAGGUGACAAAAUUCUGCUUUUUUAGGGUUUGGUAUUAAAUAGAUCCUGUGAAAGAGUCCUGUAAUCAGUUCACCCCACUUCCCUUUUGGCAUUGCCAUUUCCUAAGCUGCAGUUGAGGCUGAUUCCUGUCCUGAGAACUUUGGUGACAUUUGCUGGAGCAGCUCUCCCCUUUCCCUCAGUGUAAUUAAAGUUCCUGAUCCCUGCAGGGAAAGGUGGAAUAUUGGCAUUCCCACUGCAUUGCAGGUUGAGGUGGGUUUUGUCUGCACACUGGAAAGAAAGAGAGAUCACUGGUAAAUAAAAGCACACCAGGGUUCACCUCAGGUAGAGCUUAGAGAUGUUCAAAACCCAGGGGUUGAUUCCUCUCAGCUCAUUGAUCUCCCUCUGCACAAGUCCUGGUGCUGGGCUGCUCCCAAGAGUUACACAGACCCUUGAUGGGGUCUGUGCAUGGGGAUGAUUCCCCCAAAGGGAGCAGUACUGGGACAGCUUUCCCAAAAAGUCCCAGCUUUAGAGCCCACAGGGAUUCCUCCCUGCUUCAAGGGUAAAACUGCAGAAAUGUUCCUCCUUUUCUGCCUCCACCAUCCCCUCUCUGCAGCCCUGAAAGAACUGUGUGUUUAAAUGUGGGGAUGGAGUGAGCCUCACACCCAGCAGUGCUUUUCUCACUGACAAUACAAAACAUUCUCAGCAUAAUGACACUUUCUGCAGCCAGCUUGGAAGUGUGAGCACAGCAGCUGGGCUGGAGGGAGGGGAGGAAGUCCCAGCUCCCAGUUCAUGUCCUCAGCUCUUACUGGGCUGCACAGCUCAUCUGUCACCUCUGUGCUGGGCUGGAUAACCCAGAACUGUUUCCUCUGCUAUAGAAGCAUUAAAAUCCACUAAAAUAACAUCCAAUUGAGGUAUUUUUAGCUUUUUUUUUUGUUUAAAAAAUAGAUACACACUAAAGGACAAUUAGCAUUCAGCCAGCUUGCUGUUUCAAAGUUGAAUAUAAACAUGUCCAAUUAUGCAAGGCAGGGAAUCACUUCUCUGCAGCAUUUCAUGAGCUGCCUGAAUGUUGAGUGAGAGCAGAGAUUUCUGUUUUCAAGGAAGGAGACAAACAGCAAAGAAAGAAACUGCUGACAGCAGUCAGAUGAAAUAUCUGUGGUUAGAUUGAUUCUUUCCAAAGCAAAUUGUAGUAUUUCAGGCAAGGAGACAACUUGAAUAAAGUAAUAAAUAAAAUUAAGCCUCUCUCAACUUCCCUCCUACCUCUCCCUUAAGAAGAGAAAAAAAAGAGAACAGGUUAAUUCUGUAUCAAAUCAAAAUGAGGAUUAGUCAUCAGGUAUUAAUAAAUAAUGUAAUGAAGACAAUUACAAGGGUAUUUCUUGAAUCACUGUGGUUAAGGAGUCCUUCUGAAGAAUUAGGGACAGGUUUUUUUUUAAAUGGUGUUCUGUGGGCAUUUUUUCUCUAAUUUGCAACAAUAUAUGGUAGAAUUAUGCAAUAAUUUCCCAUUCCUCUUCAAAGCUGCCUUUCCAGGAUCUCAUUCUGCUUUGCACAAAUGAACUGGUGGUGAAACAUCCUUGGGAAUGUCCUUGGAGAGUCAUUUUAUCAUAUUAUUUACUCUGGCUAGUGAGAAAAUGUCGAGGUACAAAUUGGUAAUGAGAUUUGCUCAAGGUUGUCUGGAAAGUCAGUGGCAGAAUCCAGAGGAAAACUCAUCUCUAAUGACUCCCAGCCCCAGCCCAGCCUCCUUUUUAUUCCUUGAUACUGUGCAGAGACUCAUUGCCUGUGAGCCAAACUGAGGAGGAAGGGUAAUUAUUGAGGGAAAAAUAGAAAAGGCAGAGUUCAACCAGACUAAUUGACUUAUUCAUCAAGGAACAGUGCAGGGAGAGCUGUCUUGGCCAAAUCAGCAAUCAGCAAAACUUAAUUUCCUCCUGCUAAUAUGGGCCACUUCUAAAGUUGGAAAGAGUGUUAGAAAUCCUGGGAAGAGUCAGACAGAAAUUUUGUGUUGGAGGUAUUUUUAAGGCAGUCCCACUGUUCAUUAAUGGGUGAGUUGCCUCAAAGUAAGAGCACUUUCUGAAACCAAAAAGCAAUAUUCUGAGGUACAGCCAUUAUUUCAUUUAUCAAAUUAUUUUUAUUCAUUCACCUCAGCAAUUGUAACUGGUUUAGAAGAGUGUGCUUUCAUAUUUCUGUACACUCUGCCUUCCUUGAGGGGAGCUUUUCCUCAA